CGGGUUGUAAAGCACUUUAGUUGGGGAAGAAAGUUCAUAGGUCGAAUAGGCUUAUGAUUUGACGUUACCCAAAGAAUAAGCACCGGCUAACUCUGUGC
rnacentral:rRNA from 1 species